rnacentral:rRNA from 1 species
CUUUGUGACUGAGCGGCGGACGGGUGAGUAACGCGUGGGCAACCUGCCUUACACAGGGGGAUAACAGUUAGAAAUGACUGCUAAUACCGCAUAAGACCACAAAACCGCAUGGUUUGGUGGUAAAAACUCCGGUGGUGUAAGAUGGGCCCGCGUCUGAUUAGGUAGUUGGUGGGGUAACGGCCUACCAAGCCGACGAUCAGUAGCCGACCUGAGAGGGUGACCGGCCACAUUGGGACUGAGACACGGCCCAGACUCCUACGGAAGGCAGCAG